AUCUGUGCAUUAAGACUUGCAGUGUAAAUGCAGCCUUUGAAUGGAUUUUGAGUCUACACUUUUUUCAAUCCAACUCAUUGAGAUUAGUUGAGGUGUUACCAUGAAUGCUUUUCAGUCCGACUUGGCCAUUAUAAAUGGAUUAUUUGAGGGCAUGUAAAUGUAGCUAUUGGUUUAUUGGCUAUCUGAAGCAUUUUAAAAAUAAGGACACAUAGCGUAUGGUCUAACAUGACCAUAAUUUAAUCAGCCCACAUUUAGAAGUCAUUUUGAAAUCAAGGGAAUGUAUGUAUGUGAUUUUUUGGUCGUGAAUUGUAACUGUGUCCAGGUGUGAAACUAGGGUGACCAUACGUCCUCCUCCAGGACAUGUCUGGGAAAAAGAGGAUGUAUGGUCAUCCUAAAGUAAAUCUUAGGGGAUUUUUUUGUGUUUUUCCCCCCAUAACUGUGAUGAUUGGCAGACAUUUUGUUAUUUACUUGAUUUUUAUUUCUGUAACCCUGUCCAGAGUGAAUGUUCAUUGGUCCAAAAUCCAGCUCCUCAUACUAUACUUUUUGGGUGAACUAUUCCUUUGGUACCAGACUCAAGCUGACAGAUGCACUGAUGUGUUUGUCCCUGACAGUGACAUGCCUUCCCCAACCGCAGCUGUGCCAACGGUUUCUAUUUAUUGAGGGGAAGAAAGCCGUUCUUGAGCAGUAUUUUUGUGUUUUGUAGUCUCUAAAUGAUGUAAAUGUACAGAUAUUUGUUACUGUUUGCAAGGGCUAAAACUAAAGGAGUGAGCCAGACAUUUUGGACAUUCCAAUGGAGACGAAUCUGUACUGCACUGCAACUGUGUUAGCUGAUGUUUUAUUCCUUUACUGAAGUACUUUCUGUUGAAAGCAGUAAAACAAAAGGCCUUUUCUUAACCAGUCAAGUGCACCUGAAUUUUAUUCUUGCCUUUGGAGCAAACAGAAAAGAGUUUGUGCUUUUAAAUGUGUAUGUUUUUGAUGUGUGUAUUUGUCACUAAUCUACAUACACGGUGAUGUUCUCUUGUAUGUGUUGAAAGAAAAUAGUUUCAUGACAAAAACCUUUAGCAUCAAAAUGGAGUCUUGUUAUUUAACAUGAAUAAAUCUCUAUAUUAACUGCUUUUGUUAAUAAAAUAAAUCAACA